rnacentral:rRNA from 1 species
GACGUAGGGCGCGAGCGUUGUCCGGAUUUAUUGGGCGUAAAGAGCUCGUAGGCGGCUUGUCGCGUCGACUGUGAAAACCCGUGGCUCAACCAUGUGGUCUGCAGUCGAUACGGGCAGGCUAGAAUUCGGUAGGGGAGACUGGAAUUCCUGGUGUAGCGGUGAAAUGCGCAGAUAUCAGGAGGAACACCGGUGGCGAAGGCGGGUCUCUGGGCCGAUAUUGACGCUGAAGAGCGAAAGCGUGGGGAGCGAACAGG